UUAAUGUCGCAUUGUAGCUUCUCCUCACCCACCACACACGUAACGACUUGCGUCUUACACCCCAGCUGAAUUCCCCAUGACCUCCGAGACCCCUGAUUCGACAGCAGCCAGCUGAUGGCUUGAUGUCUCAGUUCAGAUGUUCUGAAAAAAAGGUUUUGGGUCCGCUGUAUUGGAAUGGAGUGUCACAUUUGGACUCAAAAAAGUACAACAGCAUAAGAAAAACAUGAUUGUUGGUGCGAAGGAACUGGGAAAUAAAGGAAACUGAUCAAUAUGGGUAGAGAAAAAGAGGAAAGUCGAGGAAGGGAACUGUAUCCACAUGCAAGAUUUUAUGCCUCUUUUUUAACCAAAGCUUGGUGUUUGGGAGAAGGUGGUCAAGACAGAGGAACUGCAGUCCACCAAGAGCCGAGCCGGUCUGCUCCACUUCCCCCUUGAGCACACGCGUGCAUCUGCAGCGUGUUGCGUGCACGAAGAGUGGCGCUCGACAUACAUGCAUGUGUGUACUUCCCUGUUCUUGUUGUGCUUUUCCUAGGCCCUGGCAGGAUGUGGUUACU